AUAUAUGAAGUUAAAGUUUGUAAAAAAAAAAGCCACAGUAUGGACUCAAAGCCCCAUCUAUAAAGGAUACUGCAGAAGGUGACUUGGGGCUGCAGGUAUAAAAUGAAGGAGUAUGUAUAUUUAUGCCUCCUUGGGCUGUCCCGACAGCUUCAGGCCUUGGCAUCAACUUCGGUAUUGUUUAGUGUGACACCUAGUGGCAGGAGUCAGGCUCAAGCAUUUCUGGGCUGUCACAGAACCCUUUGAAAAAAUCUGGGCGGUGCUGAGGCCGGCUGACUUGGCCCUCCCUGGGAAUUCCCUAGGAGUUACCUUCUGUUUACCUGCAGCUCAGGAACACUGUUGACUUACUAAAGUGAGCCAACAGGCUUUCUUUCCAUGCACGGCUCCAUAUAGCUUAAGUCAACAACACCACAGCUCAGCAGGAUUGUGUGUGGACAGACAAGAAGGAAGAUGUCCAACAAUGAAAGGGUCUGGCUUCUUGGAGGCGGCAAGUGAACUUGUGGAUCCUUCCAUGCUUCAGUUUUCUCCUCAUUGUCAAACAUUUAUCUAAGCUUAACACUUUUAAACUGUCAAAGCUUUACAUCACUGUUUUGGAGACAAGGUCUCACCAUUGGGUCACAGCCAGCCUUGACCUCCUGAGUGCUAGGAUUGCAAUCGUCCGACACUGUGCCUAGCCCUGUCUUGGUGUUUGUGAGCUCAGGGCUGGGGAUGACCUCAGGGCCUCUUGCAAAGAUGAUAAACACAUAGUUUACCACGAAACUACACCUCAGUCUUUUGUUUUUCCUUUUAAAGCAGAAGGCAAAAAUAAUAUCUUGUACCUUGUAGCAACUUAGUGUAGGCUGGCCUCAAGAGAUGACAAGAUGGCCCCACAAUGGUCCCGGACUGGCUAUGGACUGAAGCUCCUCUGUGGGAAAGGGAUGUUGUCAAGGCAGAUGAGACUGGAUAGUUCAUGAAUCCUCCUGGGUGAAACUAAACUUCCUCCCUCAAAGGAGCUUUUGUGCAAGUUCAACCAGGUGGUCCAACCUGCCCCACCCCAUCCCCCAUGGGCAGACUGGCUUGGGUCAAUUGUUUUAGGCAAUUAUUCCUAACUUGUUUUAGUCCCAGACAGGAGCGCGCAGGAAUGAGACAACCCAUGCUGGUGCAGCUGGGCUGGAGAAGAGAGGAGCAGGAGACCUAGAAGGGGCAAGCAUGGUAGAAAUGCACAGUGGCCAGCCCUGAUGUGACAGUGUGAAUGCAGAUGUGCAACUCUGUCUCUAACUCAGGCUUCUGUGGUGGCUAGCCUCCACCCUGUAAGACCGUGGAAGCUCCACCCCCCACCCCACUCCACCCCAGCUAGAGAUCUUUUCCCACAGAAAGGCAGCUGUCAGGACUUCCAUUUGCACUGAGAUAAAAAUAAACAGUCAAAGCCUUAGUGGGCUUCCUUUGCUUCAAAUCCUACAUUGUCAUGGAGAUCAAAGCCUUAGAGGACGUCUGCAGAAGUUCCUACCCACAGAGGCCAGGCAGGACUCACAGGAGGACUGCGUGUAUCUACUUCGAAGUCUCGUUAUUUCAGUCAACACCCGUGCAUGGCUUCUGCUCACUGGGGAAGUUGCUGCAGGGGUAGGAGGAGACCUGGUGUCAGCCCUGGCCAGAACUGGCUCGCUCCUCUCUGCUUGUUGACAGUAACCAGGCAACAGGUUCAGGAAAGACCUGAAGAAUCCCAGCUCCAUGAUCUUGAAGGACUCGGGCCCACCCCCAGGUUUCCAGGACAUCUCGAGAGGAACAGAAACAUGGGGGCACAGCAUGGGGGUGUGCGCAGGAAGCAGAGGCACGGCUUACAGAGAAGCAGAGGUUGGGACUUUUCCUUGGCUGGCAAGAUGAAAUUCAGCCGCCAAGAGGCGCACAGUGCGCACCGUGCUGUCUGCAGCGACAUCUUCUGGCCACUUUUGGAAUAACUUUCCUUUGAGGAAUUGUCUUUAAAGAACGGUUUAGGCAAAAGCCAGGUGGAGGAUUUGUACUGUGGUUGUAUCUAGGUGAGAGGAGAGUUCAGCAUUUAUCACAAACCCAAGAAAGCCCUCAUUCUGCCUGGCAGAACUCCCCCUGAAGCCUGUAGCCAGUCAGCUCAGCCCACUGAAUAAUCAAACAUCCUUGGUAUCUAUGUCCAUUCCUCUGCAGGACAGGGUUGUCGAUAUGUAGCCUAGGCUGCCCUCGAACCUAGGAUCCUCUUGCCACAGCCUCCUGAGUGCCGGCAUUACAUCGCUGGUCAGCGUCAACACUUGGGUGACAGGAACAGGCUACUGUGCUUAUCUGUGUGUGUGUGUGUGUGUGUUUUGAAAUUUGUUGUUGGGCUGGUGAGAAGGCUCAGUGGUUGAGAGUGCCGACUGCUCUUCCAGAGGUCCUGAGUUCAAAUCCCAGCAACCACAUGGUGGCUCACAACCAUCCAUAACAAAAAUCUGGUGCCCUCUUCUGGAGUGUCUGAAGACAGCUACAAUGUACACACAUAUAAUAAACAAACAAACAAACAAACAAAUAAACAAACAAAUAAAUCUUAAAAAAAAGAAUUGAGAAACCAUCAGUUACAAGCCAAGUUCAAAGUCAACUAAUGUUACAAGACACCCAGACUCUAAAAUAUUAAAAAAAUUGUUGUUGGU